rnacentral:rRNA from 1 species
AGGACGAACGCUGGCGGCGCGCUUAACACAUGCAAGUCGAGCGAGAACCAGUCUUCGGACUGGGGAAAGCGGCGAACGGGUGAGUAACACGUGGGUAAUCAACCCUUGACACCGGGAUAGCCCGAGGAAACUCGGAUUAAUACCGGAUGGCCCAACAGUCUUUCGGGGCGGUUGGAAAAGGUAGCUUCGGCCUCCGGUCAGGGACGAGCCCGCGGCGGAUUAGCUUGUUGGUGAGGUAACGGCUCACCAAGGCAACGAUCCGUAGCUGGUCUGAGAGGACGAUCAGCCACACUGGGACUGAGACACGGCCCAGACUCCUACGGGAGGCAGCAGUGGGGAAUCUUGCACAAUGGGCGAAAGCCUGAUGCAGCGACGCCGCGUGGAUGAUGAAGGCCUUAGGGUUGUAAAGUCCUUUUAACGGGGAAGAUAAUGACGGUACCCGUAGAAUAAGCCCGGCUAACUUCGUGCCAGCAGCCGC